rnacentral:piRNA from 1 species
UGCCAAAACUAAAAUGAAGGCCCGGUCCAU